rnacentral:rRNA from 1 species
GAUGAACGCUAGCGGCAGGCCUAACACAUGCAAGUCGAGGGAGAAGCCCUUCGGGGCAGAAACCGGCGCACGGGUGCGUAACGCGUAUGCAACCUACCUUUCACAGGGGGAUAGCCCGAAGAAAUUUGGAUUAAUACCCCAUAAUAUUAUUGGAUGGCAUCAUUUGAUAAUUAAAAUUACGAUGGUGAAAGAUGGGCAUGCGUCCUAUUAGCUAGUUGGAGUGGUAACGGCACCCCAAGGCUACGAUAGGUAGGGGUCCUGAGAGGGAGAUCCUCCACACUGGUACUGAGACAGGGACCAGACUCCUACGGGAGGCAGCAGUGAGGAAUAUUGGUCAAUGGUCGGAAGACUGAACCAGCCAUGCCGCGUGCAGGAAGAAUGCCUUAUGGGUUGUAAACUGCUUUUAUAUGGGAAGAAUAAGGAGUACGUGUACUUUGAUGACG